AAGGAUUUCGCACAUUCUGAACACAAAAACAGCUUCUCUCCUGUGUGAAUUCUAUGAUGGCUGUCAAGACUUGAUUUAUCAGUAAAAGAUUUCCUACAUUCUGAACAUGAAAACGGCUUCUCUCCUGUGUGAAUUCUAUAAUAGUCAUC